rnacentral:rRNA from 1 species
UACGUAGGGUGCGAGCGUUGUCCGGAAUUAUUGGGCGUAAAGGGCUCGUAGGCGGUCUGUUGCGUCAGGAGUGAAAACUCGGGGCUUAACCCCGAGCCUGCUUCUGAUACGGGCAGACUAGAGGUAUGCAGGGGAGAACGGAAUUCCUGGUGUAGCGGUGAAAUGCGCAGAUAUCAGGAGGAACACCGGUGGCGAAGGCGGCAUCCUGGACCGAGAUUGACGCUGAGGCGCGAAAGCCAGGGGAGCAAACGGG